UACGUAGGGGGCAAGCGUUGUCCGGAAUCAUUGGGCGUAAAGAGCGUGUAGGCGGCUCGGUAAGUCCGCUGUGAAAGUCCAGGGCUCAACCCUGGAAUGCCGGUGGAAACUGUCGAGCUAGAGUCCGGAAGAGGCGAGUGGAAUUCCUGGUGUAGCGGUGAAAUGCGCAGAUAUCAGGAGGAACACCAAUGGCGAAGGCAGCUCGCUGGGACGGUACUGACGCUGAGACGACGAAGCGUGGGGAGCAAACAGG
rnacentral:rRNA from 1 species